rnacentral:rRNA from 1 species
AAUGGGUCAGCGACUUAUAUUCUGUAGCAAGGUUAACCGAAUAGGGGAGCCGAAGGGAAACCGAGUCUUAACUGGGCGUUAAGUUGCAGGGUAUAGACCCGAAACCCGGUGAUCUAGCCAUGGGCAGGUUGAAGGUUGGGUAACACUAACUGGAGGACCGAACCGACUAAUGUUGAAAAAUUAGCGGAUGACUUGUGGCUGGGGGUGAAAGGCCAAUCAAACCGGGAGAUAGCUGGUUCUCCCCGAAAGCUAUUUAGGUAGCGCCUCGUGAAUUCAUCUCCGGGGGUAGAGCACUGUUUCGGCAAGGGGGUCAUCCCGACUUACCAACCCGAUGCAAACUGCGAAUACCGGAGAAUGUUAUCACGGGAGACACACGGCGGGUGCUAACGUCCGUCGUGAAGAGGGAAACAACCCAGACCGCCAGCUAAGGUCCCAAAGUCAUGGUUAAGUGGGAAACGAUGUGGGAAGGCCCAGACAGCCAGGAUGUUGGCUUAGAAGCAGCCAUCAUUUAAAGAAAGCGUAAUAGCUCACUGGUCGAGUCGGCCUGCGCGGAAGAUGUAACGGGGCUAAACCAUGCACCGAAGCUGCGGCAGCGACACUAAGUGUUGUUGGGUAGGGGAGCGUUCUGUAAGCCUGUGAAGGUGUACUGUGAGGUAUGCUGGAGGUAUCAGAAGUGCGAAUGCUGACAUAAGUAACGAUAAAGCGGGUGAAAAGCCCGCUCGCCGGAAGACCAAGGGUUCCUGUCCAACGUUAAUCGGGGCAGGGUGAGUCGACCCCUAAGGCGAGGCCGAAAGGCGUAGUCGAUGGGAAACAGGUUAAUAUUCCUGUACUUGGUGUUACUGCGAAGGGGGGACGGAGAAGGCUAUGUUGGCCGGGCGACGGUUGUCCCGGUUUAAGCGUGUAGGCUGGUUUUCCAGGCAAAUCCGGAAAAUCAAGGCUGAGGCGUGAUGACGAGGCACUACGGUGCUGAAGCAACAAAUGCCCUGCUUCCAGGAAAAGCCUCUAAGCAUCAGGUAACAUCAAAUCGUACCCCAAACCGACACAGGUGGUCAGGUAGAGAAUACCAAGGCGCUUGAGAGAACUCGGGUGAAGGAACUAGGCAAAAUGGUGCCGUAACUUCGGGAGAAGGCACGCUGAUAUGUAGGUGAAGCGACUUGCUCGUGGAGCUGAAAUCAGUCGAAGAUACCAGCUGGCUGCAACUGUUUAUUAAAAACACAGCACUGUGCAAACACGAAAGUGGACGUAUACGGUGUGACGCCUGCCCGGUGCCGGAAGGUUAAUUGAUGGGGUUAGCGCA